GACGAACGCUGGCGGCGUGCUUAACACAUGCAAGUCGAACGGAGAGGCCCUGCUUUUGUGGGGUGCUCGAGUGGCGAACGGGUGAGUAACACGUGAGUAACCUGCCCUUGACUUUGGGAUAACUUCAGGAAACUGGGGCUAAUACCGGAUAUGAGCUCCUGCUGCAUGGGGGGGGUGGGAAAGUUUCGGCGGUUCGGGAUGGACGCGCGGCUUAUCAGCUUGUUGGUGGGGUAGUGGCUUACCAAGGCUUUGACGGGUAGCCGGCCUGAGAGGGUGACCGGCCCCAAUGGGACUGAGAUACGGCCCAGACUCCUACGGGAGGCAGCAGUGGGGAAUAUUGCACAAUGGGCGGAAGCCUGAUGCAGCAACGCCGCGUGCGGGAUGACGGCCUUCGGGUUGUAAACCGCUUUCGCCUGUGACGAAGCGUGAGUGACGGUAAUGGGUAAAGAAGCACCGGCUAACUACGUG
rnacentral:rRNA from 1 species